GGUGACUUGUACAGUACAGAGGCCAAAGGCAGUGAGAGACCAGGUGACUUGUACAGUACAGAGGCCAAAGGCAGUGAGAGACCAGGUGACUUGUACAGUACAGAGGCCAAAGGCAGUGAGAGACCAGGUGACAUGUACAGUACAGAGGCCAAAGGCAGUGUGAGACCAGGUGACUUGUACAGUACAGAGGCCAAAGGCAGUGAGAGACCAGGUGACUUGUACAGUACAGAGGCCAAAGGCAGUGUGAGACCAGGUGACUUGUACAGUACAUCAGAGAGGCCAAAGGCAGUGAGAGACCAGGUGACUUGUACAGUACAUCAGAGAGGCCAAAGGCAGUGUGAGACCAGGUGACUUGUACAGUACAUCAGAGAGGCCAAAGGCAAUGUGAGACCAGGUGACGUGUACAGUACAUCAGAGAGGCCAAAGGCAGUGUGAGACCAGGUGACUUGUACAGUACAUCAGAGAGGCCAAAGGCAGUGAGAGACCAGGUGACUUGUACAGUACAGAGGCCAAAGGCAGUGUGAGACCAGGUGACUUGUACAGUACAUCAGAGAGGCCAAAGGCAGUGUGAGACCAGGUGACGUGUACAGUACAUCAGAGAG